AUCUUUUCUUUCUAUAAUACAAAAUAUGCGCCACACAGUGGGAUCUCUCACUGUUUAACUUCCUGUUUCUGGACUUUAUGUGAAAAUGUGUAGAACAAAGUGAAGCUGCUCUGCUGCCUGCUGGAGUCUGACUGCACCGACAUGAUGAUUUACUCCUAAAGUGUGAUCACCAACAGGUGCAUGCUGGUCGUGGCUAACAACAUGCUAAAUGCCAACACUGUGUGUCCUCCUCUGCAGGUGCAGCGGGCUCACAGAGGGACGUUCAGACAGAUGUUUCUAACAGAUGUUCCAUGUGUUGGUCUCUGAUGGAGACAAAGAGGAGCAGCUGUACCUCUCGUCCUGUUUGAUGUGGCGUCUCUGAAGACGACCUGUCCAUAACUGACGUCUUCUGGUCUCCUGACUGCUGAGUAGACUACAGCUGGAUCACUCUCUGUCAAAUAAAAUACAGGCAACUUACAGUACUGCAGUGAGAGAUGUGCACGUCAGGACUCGGCCGUGUGUUUCUAUCAGGAAGACGAAACUGGACGACCACAGAGCUGUUGAACCCACAGGGUCACGUGAUGUUUUGACAUCACUGUAUGUGACGUCAUCAACUCCAACGUCUACGUCAGCAGCUGAAAGGAACCAGGAUGAACAGAACAUUUAAAUCAGUUUCAAUCAUAAAACAGAAAUGUAAACUUCAUCUGCUGAGGAAGAUCAUGUGAUACGAUCAAAAGCUCCAGAGCACACUAAACGGACCUUGUAGGUUUCCUACGGAUGCAUCGUCUCACCAGUACAACCAGUACAACCAGUACAACCAGUACACAGACAGGUGGAACAGUAAACCACACCAAGGAAGAGGUGGGUGAGGAAGAGGAAGAGUUGGGUGAGGAAGAGGUGGGUGAGGAAGAGGAGGUUGUAGUAGAAGAUGUCGUGUGAGCCAGCUGGGUGGAGACUCAUCACUGCUGAUGAGACACUUGUAGAGGCCUUCAUCAGACCUGGAAACAUGGUGGAGGGUCAUGUGACCUGCAGGCUCAGUCCUGAUGAGGGCGCCAUCUUUAUAGAAAUCAGCUGGGAGGCUGGAGGACGUCUUUGUCCUACAGAGCAGAGUGACGUUAUCUCCCUCCAUCAC